rnacentral:rRNA from 1 species
CGCCCAGACUCCUACGGGAGGCAGCAGUGGGGAAUAUUGCACAACGGGCGCAAGCCUGAUGCAGCCAUGCCGCGUGUAUGAAGAAGGCCUUCGGGUUGUAAAGUACUUUCAGCGGGGAGGAAGGUGUUGAGGUUAAUAACCUCAGCAAUUGACGUUACCCGCAGAAGAAGCACCGGCUAACUCCGUGCCAGCAGCCGCGGUAAUACGGAGGGUGCAAGCGUUAAUCGGAAUUACUGGGCGUAAAGCGCACGCAGGCGGUCUGUCAAGUCGGAUGUGAAAUCCCCGGGCUCAACCUGGGAACUGCAUUCGAAACUGGCAGGCUGGAGUCUUGGAGAGGGGGGUAGAAUUCCAGGUGUAGCGGUGAAAUGCGUAGAGAUCUGGAGGAAUACCGGUGGCGAAGGCGGCCCCCUGGACAAAGACUGACGCUCAGGUGCGAAAGCGUGGGGAGCAAACAGGAUUAGAUACCCGAGUAU